rnacentral:rRNA from 1 species
UUAGGGCACGACACCGGAAAGGGAGCCUGAGAAACGGCUACCACAUCCAAGGAUGGCAGCAGGCGCGCAAAUUACCCAAUCCCGACACGGGGAGGUAGUGACAAUAAAUAACAAUACGGGGUUCUUUAGGAUCUCGUAAUUGGAAUGAGUACAAUUUAAAUCUCUUAACGAGGAACAAUUGGAGGGCAAGUCUGGUGCCAGCAGCCGCGGUAAUUCCAGCUCCAAUGGCGUAUAUUAAAGUUGUUGCAGUUAAAAAGCUCGUAGUUGAAUUUCGGGGUUAGUAGGUUGGUCAUGCCUCUGGUAUGUACUGGUCUCACUGAUUCCUCCUUCCUGAUGAGCCGUAAUGCCAUUAAUUUGGUGUUGCGGGGAAUUUGGACUGUUACUUUGAAAAAAUUAGAGUGUUUAAAGCAAGCUAACGCUUGAAUACAUUAGCAUGGAAUAAUGAAAUAGGACGUUCGAUCCUAUUUUGUUGGUUUCUAGGAUUGACGUAAUGAUUAAUAGGGAUAGUUGGGGGCAUUAGUAUUCAAUUGUCGGAGGUGAAAUUCUUGGAUUUAUUGAAGACUAACUACUGCGAAAGCAUUCGCCAAGGAUGUUUUCAUUAAUCAAGAACGAAAGUUAGGGGAUCGAAGACGAUCAGAUACCGUCGUANUCUUAACCAUAAACCAUGCCGACUAGGGAUCGGAUGAUGUUAAUUUUUUAAUGACUCAUUCGGCGCCCUUACGGGAAACC